rnacentral:rRNA from 1 species
UGGGGAAUAUUGCACAAUGGGCGCAAGCCUGAUGCAGCCAUGCCGCGUGUGUGAAGAAGGCCUUCGGGUUGUAAAGCACUUUCAGCGGGGAGGAAGGCGGUGAGGUUAAUAACCUCAUCGAUUGACGUUACCCGCAGAAGAAGCACCGGCUAACUCCGUGCCAGCAGCCGCGGUAAUACGGAGGGUGCAAGCGUUAAUCGGAAUUACUGGGCGUAAAGCGCACGCAGGCGGUCUGUCAAGUCGGAUGUGAAAUCCCCGGGCUCAACCUGGGAACUGCAUUCGAAACUGGUCAGCUAGAGUCUUGUAGAGGGGGGUAGAAUUCCAUGUGUAGCGGUGAAAUGCGUAGAGAUGUGGAGGAAUACCGGUGGCGAAGGCGGCCCCCUGGACAAAGACUGACGCUCAGGUGCGAAAGCGUGGGGAGCAAACAGG